GACGAACGCUGGCGGCGUGCUUAACACAUGCAAGUCGAACGGAAAGGCCCUGCUUUUGUGGGGUGCUCGAGUGGCGAACGGGUGAGUAACACGUGAGUAACCUGCCCUUGACUUUGGGAUAACUUCAGGAAACUGGGGCUAAUACCGGAUAGGAGCUCCUGCUGCAUGGUGGGGGUUGGAAAGUUUCGGCGGUUGGGGAUGGACUCGCGGCUUAUCAGCUUGUUGGUGGGGUAGUGGCUUACCAAGGCUUUGACGGGUAGCCGGCCUGAGAGGGUGACCGGCCACAUUGGGACUGAGAUACGGCCCAGACUCCUACGGGAGGCAGCAGUGGGGAAUAUUGCACAAUGGGCGGAAGCCUGAUGCAGCAACGCCGCGUGCGGGAUGACGGCCUUCGGGUUGUAAACCGCUUUCGCCUGUGACGAAGCGUGAGUGACGGUAAUGGGUAAAGAAGCACCGGCUAACUACGUGCCAGCAGCCGCGGUAAUACGUAGGGUGCGAGCGUUGUCCGGAUUUAUUGGGCGUAAAGGGCUCGUAGGUGGUUGAUCGCGUCGGAAGUGUAAUCUUGGGGCUUAACCCUGAGCGUGCUUUCGAUACGGGUUGACUUGAGGAAGGUAGGGGAGAAUGGAAUUCCUGGUGGAGCGGUGGAAUGCGCAGAUAUCAGGAGGAACACCAGUGGCGAAGGCGGUUCUCUGGGCCUUUCCUGACGCUGAGGAGCGAAAGCGUGGGGAGCGAACAGGCUUAGAUACCCUGGUAGUCCACGCUGUAAACGGUGGGUACUAGGUGUGGGGUCCAUUCCACGGGUUCCGUGCCGUAGCUAACGCUUUAAGUACCCCGCCUGGGGAGUACGGCCGCAAGGCUAAAACUCAAAGGAAUUGACGGGGCCCCGCACAAGCGGCGGAGCAUGCGGAUUAAUUCGAUGCAACGCGUAGAACCUUACCUGGGUUUGACAUGGAUCGGGAGCGCUCAGAGAUGGGUGUGCCUCUUUUGGGGUCGGUUCACAGGUGGUGCAUGGCUGUCGUCAGCUCGUGUCGUGAGAUGUUGGGUUAAGUCCCGCAACGAGCGCAACCCUUGUUCACUGUUGCCAGCACGUUAUGGUGGGGACUCAGUGGAGACCGCCGGGGUCAACUCGGAGGAAGGUGGGGAUGACGUCAAGUCAUCAUGCCCCUCAUGUCCAGGGCUUCACGCAUGCUACAAUGGCUGGUACAGAGAGUGGCGAGCCUGUGAGGGUGAGCGAAUCUCGGAAAGCCGGUCUCAGUUCGGAUUGGGGUCUGCAACUCGACCUCAUGAAGUCGGAGUCGCUAGUAAUCGCAGAUCAGCAACGCUGCGGUGAAUACGUUCCCGGGGCU
rnacentral:rRNA from 1 species